UAUAUAAACCCCCGAAUAUUCUACGAAAGUCAGUUUCAUUAGAAUAAUGAAGGCACUACUUUUUAUUUCCCUGCUCUGUAUAAAUGGACUAUCCACAUUAGUUUCAAGUCGUAGAAUGUAUUAUUUCAGAGAUGCUGGACCACACCAAAUAUUUUGCGACACCGAGCACGUAUUUGGAAUUUGCAGACAUUAUUGCAAGACACUUGGAAAUCGUGAAUGUCCACAAGCAAAUCCUCCUUGCAUUUGUCCUCCUUAAGAAGAUAAUAAACAAAAACUUUCUUGUUUAUUUCGGUAAUAGUUCAUUAUUCCUGUUCAACUUUCAACAUAUUUUAAUGAAGAAUUUUUGCAAUAAAAGUUGCUAAAAUAA